AUUGAACGCUGGCGGCAUGCCUUACACAUGCAAGUCGAACGGUAACAGGUCUUCGGAUGCUGACGAGUGGCGAACGGGUGAGUAAUACAUCGGAACGUGCCCGAUCGUGGGGGAUAACGAAGCGAAAGCUUUGCUAAUACCGCAUAAGAUCUAAGGAUGAAAGCAGGGGACCGCAAGGCCUUGCGCGAACGGAGCGGCCGAUGGCAGAUUAGGCAGUUGGUGGGAUAAAAGCUUACCAAGCCGACGAUCUGUAGCUGGUCUGAGAGGACGACCAGCCACACUGGGACUGAGACACGGCCCAGACUCCUACGGGAGGCAGCAGUGGGGAAUUUUGGACAAUGGGCGAAAGCCUGAUCCAGCCUUGCCGCGUGCAGGAUGAAGGCCUUCGGGUUGUAAACUGCUUUUGUACGGAACGAAAAGACUCUUUCUAAUAAAGAGGGUCCAUGACGGUACCGUAAGAAUAAGCACCGGCUAACUACGUGCCAGCAGCCGCCGUAA
rnacentral:rRNA from 1 species